CCAUCUCCCGGCUCCCGCCUUCUCCUCCUUGUUGCCUCUGUUCCUCGUCUGUGCCACACUCUCUUGCGUAGUGCCCCUGUUUAUGGCACCUGUGGCAUCUGAACUCUGGGCAAUCCCUCAGAAUAUGCCCCGGUUGGAUACACAUCCUACACACCUUCUCCUGUCUGUCGUGGAUCACCCGGAAGUACUAGGGACCCGUAGCAGUGCUGAACUUCGUCGAGCACGGCAGCGACCUGACUAAGUCAUUGAAUUUCACUUUCAGAAACCUGGUCCCGUCUGCAAUAUUGGUACCAGGCCACAUUCUCCUUUUGAUAGGUGAGGCAGCUGAGACCCCCCACCCCUGUAGCUUUUGAAUAACGUCACUGUCCGUGGUGUAUGCCCGGAAGCUCCAGAAACGACACCACCGUUUCGUCACUGUUUUGCGGCACGCCAUCAACUCCCCACACAUCUCUUUCGUCGCUUUCAUGAAUUCCAUCACCGUUACUCGAUCUUCACCGAUCAGUUCCACACUCACGUAUGGAAGGGGAGAUUUGGAGGUACCUGGUCAGGUCUUGGUCAGCCUUCAAAUCCCAGAUGUGGAGACUGCAGGGAUACCUCAUGGAGAAGACACUAAAGAGCCAUCUCUCAUUCAUCGAGUGGACUAAUUGGUUUGCGAAUGACCACAAAGAUGCUCCCAUAGGCAGAUUGGUGCAUGGCAUUCACCACUUAUUCAAAUUGUAGAGGUUGAAGCAGUCUUCCUUGUGGUCACUUGCCAUAACACUGUCAUGUGUUUUAUGAAAAAACCAUCAGUAACAUUUAAAUUGAGUUGAUGUGGACGGCUCUUUUUUUUGUCAGUGUUCAGUGCCUGUUUGUGAGAUAUGCAUUGUUUGAAAGAUAAGCUUUUGAUUUUGUUUAAUUUUAAUAUGCCUUUCAUCAACAGUGGUUUGGGGUUUUAUAACAACAAUUAAAGUGCUUAACUACUGGUGAACGAUGUUGCAGAACAUAUAUGGUUUGUGUUGAUUGCAU
ensembl:lncRNA